UACAGAGGUCCCGAGCGUUGUUCGGAUUCACUGGGCGUAAAGGGUGCGUAGGUGGUGGAGUAAGUUUGAUGUGAAAUCUCCGGGCUUAACCCGGAAACUGCAUUGAAUACUAUCCGCUGGAGGUUUGGAGGGGGGAUCGUGGAAGUUCUCGGUGUAGCAGUGAAAUGCGUAGAUAUCGAGAGGAACACCAGUGGCGAAGGCGAGUCCCUGGACAACACCUGACACUGAGGCACGAAAGCUAGGGGAGCAAACAGG
rnacentral:rRNA from 1 species